rnacentral:lncRNA from 1 species
AGCCUCCGAAGCCUGGCUUGCCAUCUGCACACAGUCCCACAGGCCACUGCGCGGGCCCCUGAUGACUGUGCCCUGGCGAGCGUGGUCAGGGCAAGUCGGAAUCUUCCUUAACAGAGCCCCACGGACUACAUCCAGCACCUGGGCUCUGCACUAGCCAGCCUGAGCCCCUGCUCCAUUCCGCACAGAGUCUACCGCCAGGCCCACAGCCUGCUCUGCAGCUUCCUGCCAUGGUCGGGCAUCUCUUCCAAGAGUGGCAUCGAGUACAGCCGGACCAUGUGAUGUCGGCUGGGCAGCCGCCACCAGGCCCCACCCUUCGGCCGCCCGCAGAGCCCGCCUUCCUGUCCAUCUGACCCCUUCUGUUUUCUGCAAGGAGCUGCCAGCCAUCUAACUGGGCUCGUCGGCCUGCCCCAGCUGCAGGCCCGGUGCUACACGGGCUCGGGAACAGAACAUCGUGGGCAUGCGCAGAGCAUGCCCAUCCGUGGCAGGCUCUUCAGCUCCCCUCCCUGCUUCUGGAAACCUCUGCCUGCUGCCCUGGCCCUGCCCCCCUGCGCAUGCACCGUCCCCAGGGCUGACCCAGU